GGGCGCAAGCUGAACCAGCCAUGCCGCGUGCAGGAUGACGGUCCUAUGGAUUGUAAACUGCUUUUGCACAGGAAGAAACACUCCGACGUGUCGGAGCUUGACGGUACUGUGAGAAUAAGGAUCGGCUAACUCCGUGCCAGCAGCCGCGGUAAUACGGAGGAUCCAAGCGUUAUCCGGAAUCAUUGGGUUUAAAGGGUCCGUAGGCGGUUUGGUAAGUCAGUGGUGAAAGCCCAUCGCUCAACGGUGGAACGGCCAUUGAUACUGCUAAACUUGAAUUAUUGGGAAGUAACUAGAAUAUGUAGUGUAGCGGUGAAAUGCUUAGAGAUUACAUGGAAUACCAAUUGCGAAGGCAGGUUACUACCAAUCGAUUGACGCUGAUGGACGAAAGCGUGGGUAGCGAACAGGAUUAGAUACCCUGGUAGUCCACGCCGUAAACGAUGGAUACUAGCUGUUGGGGGCAACUUCAGUGGCUAAGCGAAAGUGAUAAGUAUCCCACCUGGGGAGUAC
rnacentral:rRNA from 1 species